rnacentral:rRNA from 1 species
CAGUCGCCGCGGUAGUACGUAGGUGGCAAGCGUUGUCCGGAAUUAUUGGGCGUAAAGGGCUCGCAGGCGGUUUCUUAAGUCUGAUGUGAAAGCCCCCGGCUCAACCGGGGAGGGUCAUUGGAAACUGGGAAACUUGAGCGCAGAAGAGGAGAGUGGAAUUCCACGUGUAGCGGUGAAAUGCGUAGAGGUGUGGAGGAACACCAGCGGCGAAGGCGACUCUCUGGUCUGUAACUGACGCCGAGGAGCGAAAGCGUGGGGAGCGAACAGGAUUAGAUACCCCAGUAGUCCCUGUCUCUUAUAC